GUGGGUAUAGCUCAGUGGCAGAGUGUGUGUUCAGCACACAUGGGUCCUAGGUUCAAUCCCCAGUACCUCCA
rnacentral:tRNA from 1 species